rnacentral:rRNA from 1 species
UUCCGGAGCUAACGCGUUAAGUCGACCGCCUGGGGAGUACGGCCGCAAGGUUAAAACUCAAAUGAAUUGACGGGGGCCCGCACAAGCGGUGGAGCAUGUGGUUUAAUUCGAUGCAACGGAAGAACCUUACCUACUCUUGACAUCCAGAGAACUUAGCAGAGAUGCUUUGGUGCCUUCGGGAACUCUGAGACAGGUGCUGCAUGGCUGUCGUCAGCUCGUGUUGUGAAAUGUUGGGUUAAGUCCCGCAACGAGCGCAACCCUUAUCCUUUGUUGCCAGCGGUNNGGCCGGGAACUCAAAGGAGACUGCCAGUGAUAAACUGGAGGAAGGUGGGGAUGACGUCAAGUCAUCAUGGCCCUUACGAGUAGGGCUACACACGUGCUACAAUGGCGCAUACAAAGAGAAGCGACCUCGCGAGAGCAAGCGGACCUCAUAAAGUGCGUCGUAGUCCGGAUUGGAGUCUGCAACUCGACUCCAUGAAGUCGGAAUCGCUAGUAAUCGUAGAUCAGAAUGCUACGGUGAAUACGUUCCCGGGCCUUGUACACACCGCCCGUCACACCAUGGGAGUGGGUUGCAAAAGAAGUAGGUAGCUUAACCUUCGGGAGGGCGCUUACCACUUUGUGAUUCAUGACUGGGGUGAAGUC